CCGUGUUAGUUGCACAUGAAUGACAGAUUCCAAGUUUCUUGCGGUGCUGUGUUGCCUGUGAGAAAAACCGGAGUGCAAGCAACUGUUUUUGUGUAUCUGUGUACGGAUGUCCUCGCUCAAGAAAAACGCUCGUUGGGUCGUGCUCAAUUUAACUGGAACCCUUCUCGUAUGCCUCCAGGUUUCUGCCACGUAGGUUCAUCUGCAUCUGUGAACUUCACCAAAAUUCCAGGACUUUCAGUUUAUCAUGACAUAUAGGUGCUGCUUGAUCCAGCAAGUCAUUCCGAAGAACCAACCUUGUGCUCACUAUUCUUCGUCAACCACCAUUUCGGGGAGGCAAGCGCAACAGGAUUUUUUCUUUCCAUCGCAAGAAUCUCCUCCAGGUAAGAGGGAUGUGGAUCUGAGAGUUGGCAGCAGAUGCAAUGAAACCACUCCGGUAUCGCGGUCCUCGGGAGCCUGACCAGCCCACCGUAAUCUGAGCACUGACCAACCACCCUACGACGUCUGCUGCCGGCCGUGAAAGCAAUGGCCAGCCCUUCGUCACCGGCACCUUGCCUAACUCGAAUCCUCAGGACCCUGCCUGAUCCACUGUCAUCCACCUAGCUUCCCAAGACAUAUAUCUCUU